CAUAGGUUAAUGAGGCGAACCGGGGGAACUGAAACAUCUAAGUACCCCGAGGAAAAGAAAUCAACCGAGAUUCCCCCAGUAGCGGCGAGCGAACGGGGAGCAGCCCAGAGCCUGAAUCAGUAUGUGUGUUAGUGGAAGCGUCUGGAAAGGCGCGCGAUACAGGGUGACAGCCCCGUACACAAAAAUGCACAUGCUGUGAGCUCGAUGAGUAGGGCGGGACACGUGGUAUCCUGUCUGAAUAUGGGGGGACCAUCCUCCAAGGCUAAAUACUCCUGACUGACCGAUAGUGAACCAGUACCGUGAGGGAAAGGCGAAAAGAACCCCGGCGAGGGGAGUGAAAAAGAACCUGAAACCGUGUACGUACAAGCA
rnacentral:rRNA from 1 species